rnacentral:misc_RNA from 1 species
CUACGGAGAAAAGCGUCUGAUGCUACGUUGAGUCUAAAAAUCGUCCGUAUAACUCUAUUUCCGUUACGGCUUGUGAAGAAGUAAUAUGGUAUUGAACGAAUAAGAUUCAAAGAUCUUGCAGCAUCGACAAAUGCCUUCGGUAUAUUUUCAUAUAAGAGGGUGGGAAGCUGAUAUGGUUCUUUGUAAAUUUAAGAAAAUUUGCAUUGUUUGAACUCAUACCUUAAUAGAAACUAACCGGAACAAUGUUUCUCUACAACCUAACAUUACAACGUGCUACAGGCAUUACCCAUGCCGUGCACGGUAACUUUUCUGGAAGCAAAAUGCAAGAAAUUCUCGUUUCACGUGGAAAAUCUUUAGAACUUUUAAGACCAGAUCCCAACACUGGAAAAGUUCAUACAUUACUAACUGUUGAAGUUUUUGGAAUUAUAAGAUCAUUAAUGGCAUUUAGGCUUACAGGCGGAACAAAAGAUUACAUAGUUAUAGGUUCUGAUUCAGGACGCAUUGUUAUUUUAGAAUAUAUUGCUGCUAAAAAUAUUUUUGAGAAAGUACAUCAAGAAACAUUUGGCAAAAGUGGUUGUAGACGAAUUGUUCCUGGACAGUAUUUAGCGAUAGAUCCAAAAGGCAGAGCUGUUAUGAUAGGUGCCAUUGAAAAACAAAAGCUUGUAUAUAUUUUAAACAGAGAUCCUGAAGCCCGUCUCACCAUUUCUUCUCCUUUAGAAGCACAUAAAAGUAAUACGUUAGUAUAUCAUACAGUUGGUGUAGAUGUUGGUUUUGAAAAUCCUAUGUUUGCUUGUUUAGAAAUUGAUUACGAGGAAGCAGACAGUGAUCCUACAGGAGAUGCAGCUGUUAAAACACAACAAACAUUAACUUUAUAUGAACUUGAUCUUGGAUUGAAUCAUGUUGUUCGUAAAUACAGUGAACCAUUAGAAGAACAUGCUAAUUUUUUAGUGUCUGUCCCAGGUGGUAAUGAUGGACCCAGUGGUGUCCUCAUUUGUUCCGAGAAUUAUUUAACUUAUAAGAAUUUAGGUGAUCAGCAUGAUAUUCGUUGUCCUAUACCAAGAAGAAGAAAUGAUCUCGAUGAUCCAGAAAGAGGCAUGAUAUUUGUAUGUUCUGCUACACAUAAAACCAAAAGUAUGUUCUUCUUUUUGGCACAAACUGAACAAGGAGAUAUCUUCAAAAUUACUUUGGAAACUGAUGAAGAUAUGGUUACUGAAAUAAAAUUAAAAUAUUUUGAUACUGUACCUGUAGCAACAAGCAUGUGCGUAUUAAAAACAGGAUUCUUAUUUGUUGCAUCUGAAUUUGGAAAUCAUUAUCUUUAUCAAAUUGCUCAUCUUGGAGAUGACGAUGAUGAACCAGAAUUUAGUUCUGCGAUGCCUUUAGAAGAAGGAGAUACAUUUUUCUUCGCACCCAGACCACUUCGUAAUUUAGUAUUAGUUGAUGAAAUGGACAGUUUAUCACCUAUUAUGGCUUGCCAGGUUGCUGAUUUAGCUAAUGAAGACACUCCACAAUUGUUCAUAUCAUGUGGCAGAGGACCGCGAUCUACUUUUCGUGUAUUGCGUCAUGGUUUGGAAGUAUCAGAAAUGGCAGUCAGUGAACUUCCUGGCAAUCCAAAUGCGGUGUGGACUGUUAAAAGAAGAGUCGAUGAGGAAUAUGAUGCAUACAUCAUAGUGUCCUUCGUCAAUGCUACUCUUGUGCUUAGUAUCGGAGAAACUGUUGAAGAAGUGACAGAUUCGGGCUUUCUUGGCACUACUCCUACACUCAGUUGUUCUGCUUUGGGAGAAGAUGCUUUAGUACAGGUAUAUCCGGAUGGUAUUCGUCAUAUUAGAGCCGAUAAACGUGUCAAUGAAUGGAAAGCACCGGGUAAGAAAACGAUCGUGAAAUGUGCAGUGAAUCAACGCCAAGUGGUAAUUGCCCUUACUGGUGGAGAAUUGGUCUACUUUGAAAUGGAUCCUACUGGACAACUUAAUGAAUAUACAGAAAGGAAGAAGAUGCCAUCAGAAGUAAUGUGUAUGGCGCUUGGAAAUGUGGCUGUUGGAGAACAACGUUCAUGGUUUUUAGCUGUUGGUCUUCAAGACAAUACUGUAAGAAUUAUUUCAUUGGAUCCAUCAGAUUGUUUAGCACCUAGAAGUAUGCAAGCUCUACCUGCAGCAGCUGAAAGUUUAUGUAUCGUAGAAAUGGGUGUUAAAGAAACUGAUAAUUCUGAAGAUGCAGCACCACAACAACAAUUUAGCCUGUAUUUAAAUAUAGGUUUGCAAAAUGGUGUUUUAUUAAGGACCGUAUUAGAUCCUAUUUCUGGAGAUCUUGCGGAUACGCGUACUCGAUAUUUAGGAUCACGACCUGUAAAACUAUUUAGAAUUAAAAUGCAGGGUAAUCAGGCAGUGUUAGCUAUGAGUAGCAGAUCAUGGCUUAGCUAUUAUUAUCAAAAUCGUUUUCAUUUGACGCCUUUAUCUUACGAAAGUUUAGAAUUUGCCUCUGGCUUCAGUUCUGAACAAUGUCCAGAGGGCAUCGUUGCUAUAUCAACAAAUACACUUAGAAUUUUGGCUCUAGAAAAAUUAGGAGCAGUAUUCAAUCAAGUCAGUUUUCCAUUAGAAUAUACUCCAAGGAAAUUUGCUAUUCAUGUGAAUUCUGCGCAUAUAGCAAUCAUAGAGACUGAACACAAUGCGUACACAGAAGAAACUAAACAACAAAGAAGGUUACAAAUGGCAGAAGAAAUGCAAGAAGCAGCAGGUGCCGAGGAAGCUGCAGUUGCUAGAGAAUUGGCAGAAGCAUUUUUAUCGGAAGAACCUAAUGAAACUGUGUUUGGUGCACCAAGAGCUGGACCUGGUCUUUGGGCAUCACUUGUAAGAAUUAUAGCACCUACAUCUGGACAUACCUUCGAAGUUCAUAGAUUAGAACAAAAUUUGGCCGCAUUAUGUUUAGGUUUGGUUAAAUUUAGUAAUCAAGGUGAUCAAAUGUUCCUCAUAGUCGGAGUUGCAAAAGAAUUUCAACUUAAUCCAAGAGUCAGCAAUGGAGGCUUUCUUUAUACUUACAAAGUUAAUUCGGAUUGUAAAAGUAUCGAGUUACUACACAAGACCGUCUUGGAUGAAGUUCCAUUAGCAAUUUGUCCAUAUCAAGGGAGAGUAUUAGUUGGUGUUGGAAGAAUGCUUCGCCUUUAUGACAUGGGUAAAAAGAAAUUAUUACGCAAAUGUGAAAACAAGCACAUUCCAAAUGCUGUUGUUUCCAUCAAUGCUGUCGGACAACGCAUAUAUGUUAGUGACGUACAAGAAUCAGUUUAUGCUGUUAGAUAUAAACGACAGGAAAAUCAAUUAAUCGUUUUUGCUGAUGAUACGCACCCAAGAUGGAUCACAGCAACUUGUGUAUUAGAUUAUGAUACGGUGGCAACUGCUGAUAAGUUUGGAAACAUUGCAGUGAUACGACUUGCUAGUGGCAUUAAUGAUGAUGUUGAUGAAGAUCCCACUGGUAAUAAAGCACUGUGGGACAGAGGUUUAUUAAAUGGUGCCAGUCAAAAAGCUGAUACUGUCGCGUGUUUCCAUGUUGGUGAAACUGUUAUGUCUUUGCAAAAAGCUACUCUUAUUCCUGGUGGAUCUGAAAGUUUAGUUUACACGACAUUAAAUGGCACAGUAGGAGUACUUGUGCCUUUUACCAGUCAUGAAGAUCAUGAUUUCUUUCAACAUCUUGAGAUGCACAUGCGUUCGGAACAUCCACCGCUCUGUGGAAGAGAUCAUCUUUCUUUCAGAUCAUAUUAUUAUCCUGUGAAAAAUGUUAUAGACGGUGAUCUUUGUGAACAAUUCAAUUCGAUUGAACCUUCCAAACAGAAAAGUAUUGCUGGUGAUCUUGAAAGAACACCAUCAGAGGUGUCGAAAAAAUUAGAGGAUAUACGUACACGUUACGCUUUCUAGAAUAGAUAUUUUAUAAUAUUCGAACAUAUAUAUUCGCAUCUCUAUUUUGAUUUGUUCACAAAUAUUCAUUGGAAAACAUUCACACAAUAACUACAAAAGUGUAUUAAAAUGUAUUAACGCUUUAAAGCAUUCAAUUUUUGACGAGUGACCUUAUAAAUAUCAUAAUUUAUCAUUUAUACUAUAUUAAGUUAUAUAGUGAUUAUUCUAAGUAUAAGUAUAGUAUAAAUUGUAUACGAUAUUUAAAAAAAGAUCAAAAGAGGU